rnacentral:lncRNA from 1 species
CCACUCCUAAAUCCAUGCAAUGAUUCUAUGGAUUUUUGGAUGGCCACCUGAAGACUAAAGCUGGUUUUCCCUUUUGUGGUGCUGGCCUUCAUCAGUGUAGGUAAUUAUCAUUUGUUUAUUCUCUAAUUCACUCAUUCAUUUGACAGGCACUGACUGAGUGCCUCCUGGAUGACUAAUAUUGUGCUGAAUUAAUCCUUAGUGACUGUAUCAUUUAAUGAGGAAGACAAAUAAAUAAGUGUUUUGGUGCUAUGAAAAGAGUCUGCCCAGAGCACAGAGGAGAUACAAAAUGAAGCUGUUGAUUCUGCCUGCAGGAACAGGAAUUGCUUUAUGAAGGUGUCACAGAAAUUACAGCUGAAUCUUGGAAGGCUUUCCUGCAGACUGGAUACUUUUUUAGGGCAUACGCCACAGGAUCGUGACUUCAAUUUUAAAUCCAAGAGUAUCUCCAAGAAUCUUCUCCAAAAGCGUGGUGGUCAUUCAUCUGGGCCAACUGAUCAGCAGAGGAAAAAGGCAGUAAAUGGAAAUGAAGAUGGUAAUAAAUGUAUUUUAUUUUAAAAAGCGUUUCACAUAAUUUUUACUUGAAAACAUUAGCACCGAUGUAUUAUAACAAGCAAAGGAAGAUCACUUACUGAAUUCACAGUAAGAAAAAAGAAAACUGAAAAGGUG